rnacentral:rRNA from 1 species
GCUGGCGGCAGGCUUAACACAUGCAAGUCGAACGCCCUGGCAACGGGGAGUGGCAGACGGGUGAGUAACACGUGGGAACAUACCCUUCGGUUCGGAACAACGCCGGGAAACUGGCGCUAAUACCGGAUACGGCUUACGGGCGAAAGAUUGAUCGCCGAAGGAUUGGCCCGCGUUCGAUUAGCUUGUUGGUGAGGUAACGGCUCACCAAGGCGACGAUCGAUAGCUGGUCCGAGAGGAUGGCCAGCCACAUUGGGACUGAGACACGGCCCAAACUCCUACGGGAGGCAGCAGUGGGGAAUAUUGGACAAUGGGCGCAAGCCUGAUCCAGCCAUGCCGCGUGAGUGAUGACGGCCUUAGGGUUGUAAAGCUCUUUCGCACGCGACGAUAAUGACGGUAGCGUGAGAAGAAGCCCCGGCUAACUUCGUGCCAGCAGCCGCGGUAAUACGAAGGGGGCCAGCGUUGUUCGGAAUCACUGGGCGUAAAGGGUGCGUAGGCGGGAUCUUAAGUCAGGGGUGAAAUCCCGAGGCUCAACCUCGGAACUGCCUUUGAUACUGGGGUCCUUGAGUCCGGAAGAGGUGAGUGGAACUGC